GAUGAACGCUGGCGGCGUGCCUAACACAUGCAAGUCGAACGAGAUGCGUAUCGGAAAGCUUCGGCCGGAAGAUGCGUGAUCUAGUGGCGGACGGGUGAGUAACACGUGGGUAACCUGCCUUAUGGAGGGGGAUAACAGAGAGAAAUCACUGCUAAUACCGCAUAAGCACACAUUGCUGCAUGGCAGAGUGUGAAAAGAUUUAUCGCCAUAAGAUGGACCCGCGUCUGAUUAGCCAGUUGGCAGGGUAAAAGCCUACCAAAGCAACGAUCAGUAGCCGAUCUGAGAGGAUGACCGGCCACAUUGGGACUGAGACACGGCCCAAACUCCUACGGGAGGCAGCAGUGGGGAAUAUUGCACAAUGGGGGAAACCCUGAUGCAGCGACGCCGCGUGAGUGAAGAAGUAUUUCGGUAUGUAAAGCUCUAUCAGCAGGGAAGAUAAUGACAGUACCUGACUAAGAAGCCCCGGCUAACUACGUGCCAGCAGCCGCGGUAAUACGUAGGGGGCAAGCGUUAUCCGGAUUUACUGGGUGUAAAGGGAGCGUAGACGGAGUGGCAAGUCUGAAGUGAAAACCCUGGGCUUAACCUGGGGACUGCUUUGGAAACUGUUAAUCUAGAGUGUUGGAGAGGUAAGUGGAAUUCCUGGUGUAGCGGUGAAAUGCGUAGAUAUCAGGAAGAACACCGGAGGCGAAGGCGGCUUACUGGACAAUAACUGACGUUGAGGCUCGAAAGCGUGGGGAUCAGACAGG
rnacentral:rRNA from 1 species